UGCACAUGCACUUAGUAAUUAUGUUGUUCUUGUUGUCAGUUGAUUACUUAUGCCAAUAUUUUUUUUGUUGUGCUUCUAAUUUCACAGGGCUUGAGGAGAAACAGUUUGUGAAAGCAACGCAUGCUGAUCAAGACUCGGGAUUGGAUCCUAUUUUAACCGAUUUGGUAUAGAUGUUGGUAUACAAUCCAGAGUCCAGGUUCCAAAAUUUCAAGACUCAAAGUAUUCAUAGCCUCCCAGUAUAUAGUCAAGACUGUCAACUGUGGCCAGAGCUGGGAUAUCUGUAGCAGCAAUAGUAUGAGUAUUUUUAUUGGCAUUGCAAACCUGUAAUUGCAAACCUGGCAUUAUUUUUUAGUUUGAGUGAACUACUGUAAUUUUUUGGAAUUGUAAUUUCAUAGUGUUUG